GAGAAAGUGGUGCCACACUAAAUUGGAAUAAAACAUAAAAAAGAAUUUACUCUAACUUUUAAGAAAACCUAAUCUGCCGAUUUUUCUCAAGGCUCAUCUCCCUCACUCCUUAAAGACGUAUAAACCCUGAAUCUCUCCUAAAACUCCAUAUGUGAAGAUUUGGGGAGAAUAUCAAACUGAAAAUCUAGUACUCAUAUCCAUCACAAGCCUAACAUGAAAAGAUCAAAGCUUGAAAUGGAGGUUGGAUCCACUGCGAAGGCGGCCAAAUAUGGAUUCCUUCCACCAGGUGCUCUAGCAAAGGGACGAGGGCAAAGGCUUAGAUCAAUGUGCUCUUUAGGGGCGUUUGGAAAUGAGGUGGAAUCCUUCCAUUCAAAUGCUUUUCUUACUGCUCAAAAUAUGUCUAAACCUUUUACUGGUGAAGGAAGUCAAAAUAUGUUAAUAUCUUCUAAUGGUACAAGAUCAAAUUCUCUCCCAUCUGUUGGUUAAGGAAUGCAAGCAACAAAGAAAAACUCCCUAGUUCCUGAAAAAGUAGUUCCUGAAAAAGAGCAAAUGCAAACUAAUUUUUCAUUGCCUCCAUCUGCUGAUAUUUUAUUACCUGCAUAUACAAAGAAAAACUCAUUUGUUUCUUGGAAAGAUCAAAUGCAAACUGAGACUCCAUUUCCUCCACCCACUGAUCAAGUUAUGCAAACAGUUGAAACAUGAUUGGUUUGACAAAUCUAUGAUUAUAAAUUUACUUGACACAUACAAUAGUUUUAGAUAUUACUAAAUCGUGCAAUGCAGGUUCAGGUACUACUGAAAAGGUAAAAAAAUUCGAGGAAGGAACAAGUGUAAAGAAGUUGCAUCACUUGAAGUUGGAGAAAAGUUGAAAGUGACAUUUUACAAUAAUCGAACUGUUGGAAAGAAUAGCACUCUAUUUUCGAGGCAAUUGGGAAUAAUAGUUCGUGAUCGUAAUAUGUGUCCGUUGGGAGUAUCAUCAUGGGAUGAUAUUAAAGAAGAAAAGAUAAAUCACAUGUGGGCAGCUAUUGUGGUAACAAAUGUGUCCAAUUUAUUUAUAAGCUACUUGCUACAACUCAAAAUAUAUUUUCAGCUCUAGGGCAAAACCAAUCAUUGCAGGAUCGAUUGUCUACUGUAGAAGAUGAGGUGAAAGAACUGAAGGAACUAAAAGGAUUUUUCUUAAGUCAACACUCUAAUGUCCAGCCUCCGGUUGCUCAACAUGCUAAUGUUCAGCCUUCGGCGUCACCAUAUCAGGAGAAUGACCAUUGUUGAACAUACCAACUUAGUAACAACUUACUCAUUUCAAUUAUUUUUUAGUUAAUAAAUAUUUGAAUGCAAUAUUGUUGCAACUAGUAAAACUCUGUUGCAACUAGUGUGUUACUUGGCUUAAAAGAUGUGUUUUGUUUGCAACUAAUACUGAGAUUGCUGCAA